AGAGAGAAUUAACUAGGUUGACUGAGUUAACCAGUUAGAAUGGGGGAGAGGAGAGAGAGAGAGCGAUUAACGGGUUUAAUCAGUUUUGACUGAGUUAACCAGUUAGAGUGGGGGACAUAGCUGGAAUUGACUGAUUUAAUCAGCCACAAUGUGAAGUUGUGGAGCUAUACAGAAAACAUCCCAAAGUACUUCAUAGGAUUUACAUUGACACCGAACCAAAUAAACCAGUUAUUAGGAACAGUGAUGAAAAGCUUCGAGUGGUUUGUCGCUGAUCGUGUCCUUCUUGGUUACCAUGACAAUAGGAGGGACAUCCUGUCAGAUUGACGAACAGCACAAAGGAGGAGAGGGAUGUCAGAUUGAGAUACCUGCUGCAGCAAAAGAUAUUUGUACCCUUGGC